UACGUAGGGUGCGAGCGUUAAUCGGAAUUACUGGGCGUAAAGCGUGCGCAGGCGGCUAUUUAAGUCGGGUGUGAAAGCCCCGGGCUCAACCUGGGAAUUGCAUUCGAGACUGAAUAGCUAGGGUACGGUAGAGGGAAGUGGAAUUUCCGGUGUAGCGGUGAAAUGCGUAGAUAUCGGAAGGAACAUCAGUGGCGAAAGCGACUUCCUGGACCAGUACCGACGUUCAGGCACGAAAGCGUGGGGAGCAAACAGG
rnacentral:rRNA from 1 species